UACGAAGGGUGCAAGCGUUAAUCGGAAUUACUGGGCGUAAAGCGCGCGUAGGUGGUUCAGUAAGUUGGAAGUGAAAUCCCCGGGCUCAACCUGGGAACUGCUUUCAAAACUGCUGAGCUAGAGUACGGUAGAGGGUGGUGGAAUUUCCUGUGUAGCGGUGAAAUGCGUAGAUAUAGGAAGGAACACCAGUGGCGAAGGCGGCCACCUGGACUGAUACUGACACUGAGGUGCGAAAGCGUGGGGAGCAAACAGG
rnacentral:rRNA from 1 species